rnacentral:rRNA from 1 species
UAAUAUGUAGGGUGCGAGCGUUAAUCGGAAUUACUGGGCGUAAAGCGUGCGCAGGCGGUUUUGUAAGACAGAUGUGAAAUCCCCGGGCUUAACCUGGGAACUGCGUUUGUGACUGCAAGGCUAGAGUACGGCAGAGGGGGGUGGAAUUCCUGGUGUAGCAGUGAAAUGCGUAGAUAUCAGGAGGAACACCGAUGGCGAAGGCAGCCCCCUGGGCCUGUACUGACGCUCAUGCACGAAAGCGUGGGGAGCAAACAGGAUUAGAUACCCUGGUAGUCCACGCCCUAAACGAUGUCGACUAGUCGUUCGGAGCAGCAAUGCACUGAGUGACGCAGCUAACGCGUGAAGUCGACCGCCUGGGGAGUACGGCCGCAAGAUUA